rnacentral:rRNA from 1 species
GUGGGGAAUAUUGGACAAUGGGGGGAACCCUGAUCCAGCCAUGCCGCGUGUGUGAAGAAGGCCUUUUGGUUGUAAAGCACUUUAAGCGAGGAGGAGGCUACCGAGAUUAAUACUCUUGGAUAGUGGACGUUACUCGCAGAAUAAGCACCGGCUAACUCUGUGCCAGCAGCCGCGGUAAUACAGAGGGUGCGAGCGUUAAUCGGAUUUACUGGGCGUAAAGCGUGCGUAGGCGGCUUUUUAAGUCGGAUGUGAAAUCCCUGAGCUUAACUUAGGAAUUGCAUUCGAUACUGGGAAGCUAGAGUAUGGGAGAGGAUGGUAGAAUUCCAGGUGUAGCGGUGAAAUGCGUAGAGAUCUGGAGGAAUACCGAUGGCGAAGGCAGCCAUCUGGCCUAAUACUGACGCUGAGGUACGAAAGCAUGGGGAGCAAACAGGAUUAGAAACCCGAGUAGUCC